UUCCUUCCGGCCGGCAAGCUGAGAGAAGGAAGCGGGCGGAAGCUGGCGGCUCUCGCGAGGGUGUGUUCGGAACCCCCGCCUGGCUCCAAUGGUGGGGGGGGUUGCUUCUUAAAGGGCGAGGUACGGGGGUCGUUAUCUGCGUUCCUCCUCCGGGAAUAGAGCGGGCUUCCGAAGCUUUGUGACGCAGAGCUUGGGCCCCAACGCGUGUUUUGAGAAGCGUCUCGCGCCGACAAACUUCGUUGCUGACCUGUCUCUCCGGCCUUUGUGCGUCACAGCUUUGCGGACUGGUGUUCAGAAUCCGGGCCAGAGAGUCCAGAGUGGGAGCCUCCCCAAGGAAUGCUUAAGGAUAGAAAGUAACAGAGCCAGGAGAAACUUCCUGGAUUCUCAGGAUGUCCUGGGAUUUUCUGUACAUUCUGGCCUACAAGACAUCUGUGAACUGGAGAGCCCUCAUAUCAUCUCAUAGCUUCAAAACAGAGGAGGAACAGUGAAUGGCUUCCUACUCCCUGAAGGCAGGCAGGGGUUGUGUCUCUCCUGUGUGACUUCCUUUAUCCAAAUAGCCCAAAUCCCAAAAUAGAGGUAUAAUAGGGGCUCAGCAGGAUGACAUCCAUAAUUCAAGGCCUGACUAUUGCUGACUGCACAGAAAGUUAGAAGGAAACUGGCCUCUUGCUGGACCUUACUCAGUCCUGAAGCCUGUGGGAGUAAGGAGUAAGGAGUAAGAGUGCUUGUGAUAUCAGGGGAAGAGAUGUAAUUCCCAAACCUACCUGGUAUCUGAAACACGAGUUCGUGUUCUCUAAAAUCGAAGAAUGAAUUCUAGGAACAAUGGGGGUUAAGAGUAGGAAAAAUUUAUUGGGAGAAAGAAAGCUUCUGCCUAAGAGAGACAGAAGAGGGACCAGAAAGUGAGUUGCCUGCCCACCCCACUUUUCAAAGAUGUUUU